rnacentral:rRNA from 1 species
UAGGGAAUCUUCCGCAAUGGACGCAAGUCUGACGGAGCAACGCCGCGUGAGUGAAGAAGGAUUUCGGUUCGUAAAACUCUGUUGUUAGAGAAGAACAGCGCAUAGAGUAACUGUUAUGCGUGUGACGGUAUCUAACCAGAAAGCCACGGCUAACUACGUGCCAGCAGCCGCGGUAAUACGUAGGUGGCAAGCGUUGGCCGGAUUUAUUGGGCGUAAAGCGAGCGCAGGCGGUCAAUUAAGUCUGAUGUGAAAGCCCCCGGCUCAACCGGGGAGGGUCAUUGGAAACUGGUUGACUUGAGUGCAGAAGAGGAGGGUGGAAUUCCAUGUGUAGCGGUGAAAUGCGUAGAUAUAUGGAGGAACACCAGUGGCGAAGGCGACUCACUGGUCUGUAACUGACGCUGAGGCUCGAAAGCGUGGGUAGCAAACAGG